rnacentral:lncRNA from 1 species
CCGGAAAAAGUAGAGCGAGCCUUCUCCUCGUGGUAUUCAAAGAGUACAGACGUACGUAUACGUCGCGGCCACGGCCAUAUGGAGCGAACAUAAAAAGAAGGCAGAAGAGGUUGCUGCCAGUUACCGGAUGAGUUCCGAAUAAAUUACCCACGGAACACCGGAGAAAUACGUAUGGCGUCCCAUAGAGGGGCAUAGUUUUGGAAGACCACCCUGGCCCCCACUAGCAGCUUUAGCGCAGGCGCGACCCAGUGCCCGAUUUCCGUUCGAGAGCGGCCCCAACGGCACCAAGGCAGAACAGCCGCGAUCGAGCCCCUCGACCAUCCCCCGCCUACAGCGGCUUGAGAGCCGAAAUUAGCGAGUUGUGUUAAGUGAUGUGACCACCUGACGAACUCUGACCCAGGCCUUGACGGACUAUUUCUAUAUGCGGUUCAACAUAACCUGCCUAUGUACCGGUGCCACCACAUGCUGGCUUAACAUUUUUUUGUUGUUCCCCUAAACCAACUAAAAUCAACGGCAUAGUGACAGUGAAGAACAUAAUACGAAACUCUAUAUGUUCCACUGUACAUUUAAAACAUAUGUGCACUUGCGAGGUCAUUGACCCGUAGAGGCUACAGGCCGUGCUUUUCAAAUUUAUACUUGUGUCCCCAUGCCAUCGCUGCCAUGUCUGGAUUCAGACCUCGUUUUGAAUUUGAUUAAUACAAAUGUAAAGAAAAGUAGUGAUAUUUAGCGCAAGUGACAAAAACAUUAAGAAACUAACGUAAAAUUUACUUAUUCCAUUAAAUUUGUUUAAAUCCAACCCCAAAAAGAAAUAAUCAAAACAAACGGAGAGAAAUCAUAUGUUUAUGUGUGUAUGAUCCCUUGUGUAUGAUCUCUCUUAAAAGCUUUCAGGUUCGCUCUCCCAUCGCCGAAAGAUAUUUUGGACAGGGAUGACAUAAAGCAAAUACGUAAGUGAAAGAACCUAUUUUAUUGCAAAUCUUAACUUGUUAGAGACUUUACUGCCAUGCACAUUAAAUAAAUACUUGAUCGGUCUUUCUUGUUGUUGCGAUUUCGGCCAACGUAAAGCUUGUGAGCUUUCGGAGCUUCUUCAAAGCUUGGCUUUAUCUAUGGAGCAUUACACUUAUGAGCAUUAAUUUAUAGCCAAAAUAAUUUCCGUUGGAAUAAAAAUGAAAAUGAAAUGAAUGAAUUUAAAAAUAAUUACAUAUUAAUCCAAAAAAUAUCGAACUAAUUAAAAAUUUACAUUUUGAAUACAAUUAAUGGAAUCUAACUAUUAAACGUAUUAUAAUUAAUAUUUCCUUAUUCACCUUAUUCACUUAUUCAUAUAUAUUUUGUAGCCCCUUUAUUUGAUAGUAAACAAUUUUUCUUAUAAUUUUCUCUUUAUAUACAUACAUACCCAUAUAUUAGGAAUGAACUCUCAUUAUUUAUAAUAAACCUAUCAUUAAUUUUUGAAAAUGAAUUGCUAGAGAUUUUUGUAUUAAGGAGCCAUGCAACGUUCACCGUGUGGAAUAUAGAAUAACCAUGACUAAAAGGGAUCAUCCGAAACUAAUAUAUCUCUUGGAAUUUAUAGGAUGAUCAUGGUUGGGUGGGCAAGGACUGCCGCAACAAGACCAGCGCAGCCCCCUCAUUCCCUUCCCUACGGUCUAGCAUAGGUCUGCACGCGAUGAAUGAAUAAGAAAUAGCAUCAAUGUGAGCACGUAACAAUAAGCAAUUAUCGGAACCCCCCCUUCUACCGAUCAUACAGCCGGAGCCAGCGCGUGCACCCUCCUUAUUGGUUGCACCCCCGACCAGCUCGAGUGGCACAGCUACAACCACUAUUGUUGUAGGUGACUUGCUACAAUGCCUGGAGGCGCAAUUCGGAAAGCUUCAGUAUUAAUCGGCUGGAGAGCUACUGUAUUUACAGAGGACUGAUCGCAAACCAAGUCAUGAACAUUCAAGCCAACUGUUUUUCAACGGAGAAUUGCCUUCUGAAUUGUUCUAGCGUUAUGGUAACAAAAAUGGAGGUAACAAAAUGACUGUAGUCAUCAAUCAGCCCUCGUACCAGGAAAGUUAGCAUUCCUGUUGCUAGGGAGGAAAAUUGCUUUUUUUUAUCAGGAUACCAUCUACUAGAUCUAUAUAGGCAGAAUAAUUUAUUGAAUUAUAAGUGACAAUUAUAACAUUUACGGCUGUUUAUUGUAGCCAUGUUUACAAAAACAUUCAGCUAAACUGCGCUAAUAACCUUUUUUUUUUUUAGGUUUUAUGUUAUUGCUCUACCCUUGGGUAGAUGGGGAUUAUUUGGCCGCCCGCCUUUAGAAGGUGGAAAUCGCCACGUCGAGAUAUGUAACUUGUUACAGUUUUGCUCCAAUACUUACCUGGCGUAGAGGUUAUGUUCCCCACGUGCUUGCAGUGUGACCUCGUAGUUACGACUUUUAAAAUUAAUUGAUAUCUUAGUUUGCACUUAAACCCCGUGUGUCAAUAGAAGUUAAUCUGUCUCGGUCAAUAACAUAUUUACUCGAUUUUAAUAUUCUGUUUAAUAUUGCCAUUAAACUUAGACACUCAGCCGUGGAACUACAAUUUUCUACGAUUGUACAAUACAUUCGCCACAAGGCGAAUUGAAUAUUAAAUAUUGAAUUGUUUACAAAAAUAGCGAUUUAGCUGAAAUGGUUCAAAAAAACAAAAUAAAUAUUGCU